rnacentral:rRNA from 1 species
AGAGUUUGAUCCUGGCUCAGAUUGAACGCUGGCGGUAUGCUUAACACAUGCAAGUCGAACGGAAACGAUGUUAGCUUGCUAACAGGCGUCGAGUGGCGGACGGGUGAGUAACGCGUAGGAAUCUACCAAGUAGUGGGGGAUAGCCCGGAGAAAUCCGGAUUAAUACCGCAUAAUCUCUACGGAGUAAAGAGGGCCUCUAUUUAUAAGCUUUCGCUAUUUGAUGAGCCUGCGUAAGAUUAGCUUGUUGGUGAGGUAAAAGCUCACCAAGGCAACGAUCUUUAGCUGGUCUGAGAGGAUGAUCAGCCACACUGGGACUGAGACACGGCCCAGACUCCUACGGGAGGCAGCAGUGGGGAAUAUUGGACAAUGGGCGCAAGCCUGAUCCAGCAAUACCGCGUGUGUGAAGAAGGCCUGAGGGUUGUAAGGCACUUUCAAUUGUGAAGAAAAGCUAAAGAUUAAUACUCUUU